GGGGAGUUGUGAAGAAGAGAGGGUUUAUAAUUUUAUCCGUUCAAAAAUUAUAGCAGUUUUAUUUUAGUGAAGAUAUCUCUUUUGGGAUCGUGAAUGUAGGUCUAUUUGAGGGAUCGAACCACGUAAAAAUUAUUCUAUUAUUUUUUUUAUUUUUUUAUUAUUUAUGUGAGUGCUUUCGUUGCCGGUCUAAAUAAUUAUCUCAUGAGGCUAUUCUUUUUUUAUUCAUGUA
rnacentral:lncRNA from 1 species